rnacentral:lncRNA from 1 species
ACUUCUAUUAUAGACAGACUUCAGUCGAGCUUCUACAGUGGACGGAUCCCAGACGAGCUUCUACGAUGGGAUAGGCUCCACCGGUCAGGUCACUACUCUGAGCUCCCACGAUAAUCGAUCUUCGACCGAGCUUCUACAAUAAGUGGUCUCCUUUCAGCCUUCUACAAGAAUCAGACUCCGUCCGAACUUUCAUAGCAUAUAGAUAUCGGAUGAACUUCUACAACGGACGAACUCCAGCAGCUGGAUUUCCGCAAUGAUCGACCGCCUCCGGUGUCUGCCGAAUCUCUCCAACCCUCAACCUUCAAUAGCGUUAGCCAGACUUCAACAACGUCAAUCGAACUCCCACAGGAUCCUCCAGGCUCCUCCAACGGACGAACUUCCACAACGCCUUUCGGACUCUUCUAUCGAUUGACCUUCAGUCGGAUUCCUUAUGCAAUCGGACUUCUCCAAUAGGUAGUUCUCGUCCGAGCUCCUACAACAGAUGACUUCCGCC